rnacentral:lncRNA from 1 species
GUUUUAAAACCCUAAUGCUGACCAAAGGAAAGAGUUCAGUUUAGGGUUUAAAACCCUAAUGCUGACUAAAAGAAAGAGUUCAGUUUAGGGUUUAAAACCUAAUGCUGACUAAAUGGAAAAGGUUGUUUAGUUUAGGGUUUAAAACCCUAAUGCUGACUGAAUGGAAAAAAAACCCUAAUACUGACUGAAUGGAAAAAGUUCAGUUUAGGGUUUAAAACCCUAAUGCUGAUUGAAGGAAAGGGUUCAGUUUAGGGUUUAAAACCCUAAUGCUGACUGAAGGAAAGAGUUCAGUUUAGGGUUUAAAACCCUAAUGCUGACUAAAUGGAAAAGUUCAGUUUAGGGN